rnacentral:tRNA from 1 species
CAGAAUGUAGCUUAUAUUAAAGCUAGUUAUUUACAUUAAUUUGAAAAUUUAAUUAUUCUUUCUGA